rnacentral:rRNA from 1 species
GGGCUGCAGUAUUUUGACUGUACAAAGGUAGCAUAAUCAAUAGUCUUUUAAUUGGUGACUUGUAUGAAAGAUUGGAUGAAAUAUAUACUGUCUCUAAAUAAUUUUUAGAAAUUAAUUUUUUAGUUAAAAAGCUAAAAUAAUUUUAAAAGACGAGAAGACCCUAUAGAGUUUAAUAAUUUAUUUUAUUGUUAUUAUUAUAUAAUUUUUAAAAUUAAAAUUAAAUAAAUUAUUUUGUUGGGGUGAUAAAAAAAUUAAAUUAACUUUUUUUAGUUUUUUACAUUGAUUUAUGAUUAUAUGAUCCAUUAAUAGUGAUAAAAAGAAAAAAUUACCUUAGGGAUAACAGCGUAAUUUUUUUUUUUAGUUCAAAUAGGAAAAAAAGUUUGCGACCUCGAUGUUGGAUUAA